GAUGAACGCUGGCGGCGUGCCUAAUACAUGCAAGUCGAGCGAACGGACGAGAAGCUUGCUUUUCUGAUGUUAGCGGCGGACGGGUGAGUAACACGUGGAUAACCUACCUAUAAGACUGGGAUAACUUCGGGAAACCGGAGCUAAUACCGGAUAAUAUUUUGAACCGCAUGGUUCAAAAGUGAAAGACGGUCUUGCUGUCACUUAUAGAUGGAUCCGCGCUGCAUUAGCUAGUUGGUAAGGUAACGGCUUACCAAGGCAACGAUGCAUAGCCGACCUGAGAGGGUGAUCGGCCACACUGGAACUGAGACACGGUCCAGACUCCUACGGGAGGCAGCAGUAGGGAAUUUUCCGCAAUGGGCGAAAGCCUGACGGAGCAACGCCGCGUGAGUGAUGAAGGUCUUCGGAUCGUAAAACUCUGUUAUUAGGGAAGAACAUAUGUGUAAGUAACUGUGCACAUCUUGACGGUACCUAAUCAGAAAGCCACGGCUAACUACGUG
rnacentral:rRNA from 1 species